rnacentral:rRNA from 1 species
CGUGCAGGCGGUCGGGUAAGUCAGAUGUGAAAGCCUUUCGCUUAACGAGAGAAGUGCAUUUGAAACUGCUCGGCUAGAGUACGGGAGAGGAGAGUGGAAUUCCCGGUGUAGAGGUGAAAUUCGUAGAUAUCGGGAGGAACACCAGUGGCGAAGGCGGCUCUCUGGUCCGAUACUGACGCUGAGACGCGAAAGCGUGGGGAGCAAACAGGAUUAGAUACCCUGGUAGUCCACGCCGUAAACGAUGGGCACUAGGUGUAGGAGGUAUUGACCCCUUCUGUGCCGAAGCUAACGCAUUAAGUCGCCCCGCCGUGGGGAGUACGGCCGCAAGGCUAAA